GUGGCCCCUCCUCUUCUUCUUUCUCCUAUCUUCUUUUCUCUCCUUUUUCCUAUUUUUCAUGGGUAUCGGACAGGUAGGGGGCUGGAGCCCCUCACUGGAUCCGCCCUGAACACACCGUGUUAUAUCCUCAUCCUGGGACACAUGCAUGUUUUUUAAAUUAGGGACCUUUGUAUAUACAUGUGAAAUGAGAUAAAAAAAAUUAUAUACCUUCAAUUUUUUUGUCCAACCGUUGAUCACCGUGGGUAUUUAGACAUGCAUUUAAUUUAGUUAUUGACAAGGAUAUUUUAGACUUCUAAUUUAAUCCUUUGGUACAGAAGGGUAUCACUCAACUUUUCUUGACCCAGUAUCGAUACUCCUCGCUGGUUGAACGUCUGGUGGCGCCGCUGCCUGCUCGCCAUUCCCUUCCACAACUCAGCAAAAAGCACUAAAUAAUAUUGACUCGCAUGUAAACCAGAUUGUUUCAGAAUCUCCUGCCUUACAUCGGUACAAUUGGAAGGGUCCUAUUUUCUCGGACACUAAUGUCACUAUCGUUUCGCUUCUGCUUAUACCUAUAAACCAAAAGUUAAAUUUUUAACCUUAAAUUUAGAGUUGAUUUUAGAGUUUUUUAGCUGUAGUUUAUUUUCUAGCCUUGACUUUUAAAUCGCUAAAAAUAUAUAUAUAAAAAUUUUAUUCAUAAAUUAUUUUUCAUUUGCAAAUAUGUCGUUUGACUUUUUCUAUGAAGAAAACUAAACAAGCAAUGUUCCCAUCCACAACUAGGCCAUGAUAAACCUAUCAACCGAAACUAGAUGGAUCUACAUCCCUCAGAUGAAAAGGAUACUCCCAUCCCUCGGAUGAAAAGAGAUGGAUGACUUAUAGCUAUUAGAAGGUAAAUCAUGC
rnacentral:lncRNA from 1 species